rnacentral:rRNA from 1 species
UUAAGCGACUAAGCGUACACGGUGGAUGCCCUGGCAGUCAGAGGCGAUGAAGGACGUGCUAAUCUGCGAUAAGCGUCGGUAAGGUGAUAUGAACCGUUAUAACCGGCGAUUUCCGAAUGGGGAAACCCAGUGUGUUUCGACACACUAUCAUUAACUGAAUCCAUAGGUUAAUGAGGCGAACCGGGGGAACUGAAACAUCUAAGUACCCCGAGGAAAAGAAAUCAACCGAGAUUCCCCCAGUAGCGGCGAGCGAACGGGGAGGAGCCCAGAGCCUGAAUCAGUGUGUGUGUUAGUGGAAGCGUCUGGAAAGGCGCGCGAUACAGGGUGACAGCCCCGUACACAAAAAUGCACAUGCUGUGAGCUCGAUGAGUAGGGCGGGACACGUGGUAUCCUGUCUGAAUAUGGGGGGACCAUCCUCCAAGGCUAAAUACUCCUGACUGACCGAUAGUGAACCAGUACCGUGAGGGAAAGGCGAAAAGAACCCCGGCGAGGGGAGUGAAAAAGAACCUGAAACCGUGUACGUACAAGCAGUGGGAGCACGCUUAGGCGUGUGACUGCGUACCUUUUGUAUAAUGGGUCAGCGACUUAUAUUCUGUAGCAAGGUUAACCGAAUAGGGGAGCCGAAGGGAAACCGAGUCUUAACUGGGCGUUAAGUUGCAGGGUAUAGACCCGAAACCCGGUGAUCUAGCCAUGGGCAGGUUGAAGGUUGGGUAACACUAACUGGAGGACCGAACCGACUAAUGUUGAAAAAUUAGCGGAUGACUUGUGGCUGGGGGUGAAAGGCCAAUCAAACCGGGAGAUAGCUGGUUCUCCCCGAAAGCUAUUUAGGUAGCGCCUCGUGAAUUCAUCUCCGGGGGUAGAGCACUGUUUCGGCAAGGGGGUCAUCCCGACUUACCAACCCGAUGCAAACUGCGAAUACCGGAGAAUGUUAUCACGGGAGACACACGGCGGGUGCUAACGUCCGUCGUGAAGAGGGAAACAACCCAGACCGCCAGCUAAGGUCCCAAAGUCAUGGUUAAGUGGGAAACGAUGUGGGAAGGCCCAGACAGCCAGGAUGUUGGCUUAGAAGCAGCCAUCAUUUAAAGAAAGCGUAAUAGCUCACUGGUCGAGUCGGCCUGCGCGGAAGAUGUAACGGGGCUAAACCAUGCACCGAAGCUGCGGCAGCGACGCUGAUGCGUUGUUGGGUAGGGGAGCGUUCUGUAAGCCUGCGAAGGUGUGCUGUGAGGCAUGCUGGAGGUAUCAGAAGUGCGAAUGCUGACAUAAGUAACGAUAAAGCGGGUGAAAAGCCCGCUCGCCGGAAGACCAAGGGUUCCUGUCCAACGUUAAUCGGGGCAGGGUGAGUCGACCCCUAAGGCGAGGCCGAAAGGCGUAGUCGAUGGGAAACAGGUUAAUAUUCCUGUACUUGGUGUUACUGCGAAGGGGGGACGGAGAAGGCUAUGUUGGCCGGGCGACGGUUGUCCCGGUUUAAGCGUGUAGGCUGGUUUUCCAGGCAAAUCCGGAAAAUCAAGGCUGAGGCGUGAUGACGAGGCACUACGGUGCUGAAGCAACAAAUGCCCUGCUUCCAGGAAAAGCCUCUAAGCAUCAGGUAACAUCAAAUCGUACCCCAAACCGACACAGGUGGUCAGGUAGAGAAUACCAAGGCGCUUGAGAGAACUCGGGUGAAGGAACUAGGCAAAAUGGUGCCGUAACUUCGGGAGAAGGCACGCUGAUAUGUAGGUGAAGUCCCUCGCGGAUGGAGCUGAAAUCAGUCGAAGAUACCAGCUGGCUGCAACUGUUUAUUAAAAACACAGCACUGUGCAAACACGAAAGUGGACGUAUACGGUGUGACGCCUGCCCGGUGCCGGAAGGUUAAUUGAUGGGGUUAGCCGCAAGGCGAAGCUCUUGAUCGAAGCCCCGGUAAACGGCGGCCGUAACUAUAACGGUCCUAAGGUAGCGAAAUUCCUUGUCGGGUAAGUUCCGACCUGCACGAAUGGCGUAAUGAUGGCCAGGCUGUCUCCACCCGAGACUCAGUGAAAUUGAACUCGCUGUGAAGAUGCAGUGUACCCGCGGCAAGACGGAAAGACCCCGUGAACCUUUACUAUAGCUUGACACUGAACAUUGAGCCUUGAUGUGUAGGAUAGGUGGGAGGCUUAGAAGUGUGGACGCCAGUCUGCAUGGAGCCGACCUUGAAAUACCACCCUUUAAUGUUUGAUGUUCUAACGUUGACCCGUAAUCCGGGUUGCGGACAGUGUCUGGUGGGUAGUUUGACUGGGGCGGUCUCCUCCUAAAGAGUAACGGAGGAGCACGAAGGUUGGCUAAUCCUGGUCGGACAUCAGGAGGUUAGUGCAAUGGCAUAAGCCAGCUUGACUGCGAGCGUGACGGCGCGAGCAGGUGCGAAAGCAGGUCAUAGUGAUCCGGUGGUUCUGAAUGGAAGGGCCAUCGCUCAACGGAUAAAAGGUACUCCGGGGAUAACAGGCUGAUACCGCCCAAGAGUUCAUAUCGACGGCGGUGUUUGGCACCUCGAUGUCGGCUCAUCACAUCCUGGGGCUGAAGUAGGUCCCAAGGGUAUGGCUGUUCGCCAUUUAAAGUGGUACGCGAGCUGGGUUUAGAACGUCGUGAGACAGUUCGGUCCCUAUCUGCCGUGGGCGCUGGAGAACUGAGGGGGGCUGCUCCUAGUACGAGAGGACCGGAGUGGACGCAUCACUGGUGUUCGGGUUGUCAUGCCAAUGGCACUGCCCGGUAGCUAAAUGCGGAAGAGAUAAGUGCUGAAAGCAUCUAAGCACGAAACUUGCCCCGAGAUGAGUUCUCCCUGACCCUUUAAGGGUCCUGAAGGAACGUUGAAGACGACGACGUUGAUAGGCCGGGUGUGUAAGCGCAGCGAUGCGUUGAGCUAACCGGUACUAAUGAACCGUGAGGCUUAACCUU